CCUUCUGUUUUUGUUUUGUUUUCUACAGGAAGCUUCAGCAACUGGGCACAGUGACACACUGUACUCUGAGAGGCUAAGACAGAAGGAUUGCAAAUUCAAGGCCAGCCUGGGCAUCAUUGUGAGACUCUGUCUCAAAAUACAAAAUAAAAAGGCUGGGGAUGGAGUUCAAUGCUUACCUAGUAUAUGUAAUCCCCUGGGUUCAACUCCUAGUACUGAAAGAAGGAGGAGAAACUUGAGUAUUGCUACCAGCAUCCAGCAUCCGUAGAAAACAAUGGGAAGAUGGGAGCCAAAGUCCACUGGGAUGAAAGUUAUAAGAACUGUGCGUUAUUUUUCUGACUCCUAUACUAAUUCCAGAGUCACUUUGCACUCUGCCAAGUACAUUUGAAUACCUUGUUCAAAUUGAUAAGACAUUUUAAAAGAGUUUGAUCAUAUGUAUUAAGGGUCUUAUAUAUAGACAUAAUUAUACAACAAAUGAUAAGUAUCCUUUAACCAGUUUUUCCUAUUUUAAGAAUCUAUUCUUUUAAAAUAGGCCAUCUUUAAAAGAUUUACGCACAGUAUAUUUAAUGCACCAUUAUUUUAAAAGCAAACUGAGUAUAUAUCAACAGAGAAUUAGUUAAAUAAAAAAAAUGUUGUAUACAUAAAAUUAAAUACUUUGUUGUCAUAUAAAUUUAUAAAGAAUAUUGACAAUGUUCAAGAUACUAUAUUAUUUGAAAAAAGGUAAAAUAUACAAUUUUAUGUAUAAUAAUUGUACAUGUUAUUUUAUAUAUGAUAUACUAUGUGGAAAAAGGCAAAAUGUAAAAUAAUUGAAAUGUACCAUGUAUGUGGUACAUAUAAUUAUAUACAUAUGUGCAUAUAUAUGUGUGUGCUAGUUAUCAUCUCAAUUUUAUAAACAUACGUGCAUGAUUCUAUACAUACUGAAAGGAAACUUACCAAAAUAGGGUUAUAGUCUUAAUAUGUGAGAUUUUUCUUCCUUAUACUUUUCUGAACUCUUCAACACAUAUAUAUGUCAAUAUUAAAAUCUGUAAAAUUAAUGUAUAGUAUUUUGGAAAUAUUUUCAUCGUUAUUAUUUAUAUUUAUAUUUGGUAUUUUGAAAUUUUACACUGAAGAGUUUUUAGUGAAGGAGAUAAUUGAUUUAUGGACAGUAGGAAUUUUCAAAUGGUACUGAUAUUGGAAUAGUCUUUUAGUGAACUAACCUCAGAUAGGUUCAAGCUAGGAGUCUGGAAAACUGGCUGGUAUCUACUAUUUUUCUGACCAUCUUUGAUUCAGAAACUUUAGUUAUGGAGAACUCAAAGGAAAGAUAGAAAAUCCAAGCAAUGAGAAAAGAUGAAAGGAUUAUAUUGUUUCUUUGCUUGGUUGGUUUGUUUGAUGUUUAUUUUUAAAAAGUACCUUAGCUCUUUUCUGUUCAGAUUGAAAUCUACACAUUAAAGGUUUCUGGCAAUGUUGUCUGUGGAUCAGGAUUUAUUUACCAGAUCUUUUCCAACAGCUUAGCACCUGAAUCGAACCUUUAAUGUUGAUUGAUGCCUAUUCAAGUUGGAGAAGAGACACUUAUCUAGACUGCUGCAAUCAUCUUCCCCAAGUAUGGUAUUUUGUUGUACAAAUUGGCCUCUGUUGUAGGGAAGAGAGACAGGAGGAGCAGAGGCCUCUCACUAGACAUAUCUAUUGGCUUCUUGAGGCUGACAAUACCAUCAAAAAUUUAAAAAAGAGACAUCAGGUACUCCAGCUUGCUGACUACCAGAAGACUCAAGAAGAUUAGGGCUACAAGAAUUCAAAGCUCCAGGGCCCAUGGGACAAAUGUUUGCAGCAGUUGUAGGUGGGAGGGCUUCCUCCUCCACUGAUAGCCUCAUUUGGUGUACCUGGUGAUAGUUAUUGCUGAGUGCUGCUGCCUUCUUUAGAUGAAAUGGUUCUCCAACUGAAUCUUUACUACUGAUUCAUUGAAGUCAAGGUACUUCAGGGUAAUCCCAUUUGGGUCUUGAUGAACACAAUUUCCAACAUUCAGCUGUAGAACAAAGUCUGUGAGUCUCCAAAGAGCAUGCAUUGGCUUGCUGUCAUAAUGCAAUACAUUCAUCACAUUCAUCAGCUCGGUCCCCCUUGAGUCAUUCUGUAGUUAUUCAGUUUACUCUAUGGUGUGUGUGUGUGUGUGUGUAUGUGUGUAUGUGUGUGUGUGUGUGUGGUUGUUGUUGUUGUUUUUAAUAAAACGUUUUAUCUUUAUUUAUUCCCCUCCACUUAGGACAAUUUUACAAUGAUAAAAACUUUUCUUGAGCGUUUCUAAAACAGUCCCUGGCUGAAUAAAUAUCAGACAGGGAAGCUCUGGAAGCAUCCUCAUUUCCAUUCUCAGUGGGGUCAUGGCCCAGUCUCCCAGCUCCUGGAAUGCAAAGUCUGGCAUUCUUUUUUUUUUCUGGGACAGACUCCGGAAGCUCAGCCUAAGGGAUCAGACAGCCCCCCGCCCUCCAGAGAAAUGGAUCAAAUAAAUAAUCAUUGAAAAUGAAAGAGAUUUUCAUAGUUUCAACAAAGGCUAAGAAGACUAUAUCUAUUUUAACCCUACUCAUAAUGGUAGCUUUACUACCACUUGGGUUCACAGUGAGGUCACAAUCACUGAGUGUGUUGGAAGGGUGUAAGAGUUAUGUAUCAAAUUGCAUUGCCUGCUCUUCACUAAUUGGCUAGUGCAAUCUGGCAUUUAUUAUAGAGAAGUUGGCAGAACUAGGAAAAACAUAAUUUCCAACCCGGGGCUGGCAAGAAUUACUUAAGGUUGUAAUUAUGGGUCUCAGCACAGAAGUGAUUGAUGGUCAUCUUGCCUGAGAGAAGGAAAGACAUACAGCAGAUCACUGGGACACACUCUGCUGUGAGGCCACUCUUCACUUUGCAUUCAUGAUAAAUGUACAUAAAUCUCUUAAACAAAUUCUACUGAAAAAGACAAGUUAUGGAGUUUAGUAUCAGUUCCACAAUUCACCUGCAGUGUGAACAUGGGCAGUC
rnacentral:lncRNA from 1 species